rnacentral:rRNA from 1 species
AGAGAGAGACAUGCGCGCAUAUCAAUAAGCGGAGGAAAAGAAACUAACAAGGAUUCCCUUAGUAACGGCGAGUGAAGCGGGAAGAGCUCAAAUUUGAAAUCUUCAAGGUUCUACCUUGACGAAUUGUAGUCUAUAGAAGUGUUUUCUGUUAGUGGAGUGGCAAAAGUUCUUUGGAAUAGGACAUCAUAGAGGGUGAGAAUCCCGUAUUUGGUCAUUCCUCCUAGCGUUGUGAUACACUUUCAACGAGUCGGAUUGUUUGGGAAUGCAGUCCAAAAUGGGUGGUAAAUUUCAUCUAAAGCUAAAUAUUGGCGAGAGACCGAUAGCGAACAAGUACCGUGAGGGAAAGAUGAAAAGAACUUUGAAAAGAGAGUUAAACAGUACGUGAAAUUGUCAAAAGGGAAGCGUUUGACACCAGUGUUGUUUUUCCGAAAAUCAAUUACGAAUGUUUUAUUUUUGAGGAGUUAUGACUUCAUCGGCUUGCUCCUUUCUUUACUGAAACUUUCUUAAUGCACUUUUCGGUUAACAAGUCAACAUCAAUUUCUUUUGUUGUGAAAGAGGUAUGAGGAAGGUGGCUUUCCUUUCGGUGAAAGUGUUUAUAGCCUUGUGCCUCUGCAAUCGGAGAGAUUGAGGUCUGCAGCGUAGAUCCUUCGGGGUUAGAUACGUAGAUGCUAAGUUAUAGUUUUUCAUAGACAACUUGUUGACUAUGAUUAAUCAUGUAGCUUACUCGUUUGCGCUAUUUUACCUACGCUUAGGAUGUUGAUAGUCACAGCGUGUAC